rnacentral:rRNA from 1 species
UUCGGUGCUAGUGGCAGACGGGUGAGUAACACGUGGGAACGUACCUUUCGGUUCGGAAUAAUCCAGGGAAACUUGGACUAAUACCGGAUACGCCCUUCGGGGGAAAGAUUUAUCGCCGAUAGAUCGGCCCGCGUCUGAUUAGCUAGUUGGUGAGGUAAUGGCUCACCAAGGCGACGAUCAGUAGCUGGUCUGAGAGGAUGAUCAGCCACAUUGGGACUGAGACACGGCCCAAACUCCUACGGGAGGCAGCAGUGGGGAAUAUUGGACAAUGGGCGCAAGCCUGAUCCAGCCAUGCCGCGUGAGUGAUGAAGGCCUUAGGGUUGUAAAGCUCUUUUGUCCGGGAAGAUAAUGACUGUACCGGAAGAAUAAGCCCCGGCUAACUUCGUGCCAGCAGCCGCGGUAAUACGAAGGGGGCUAGCGUUGCUCGGAAUCACUGGGCGUAAAGGGCGCGUAGGCGGACUCUUAAGUCGGGGGUGAAAGCCCAGGGCUCAACCCUGGAAUAGCCUUCGAUACUGAGAGUCUUGAGUUCGGAAGAGGUUGGUGGAAUUGCGAGUGUAGAGGUGAAAUUCG